UCGUACAUAGAAAAGCUUGCUUUUUUGAUGACGACCGGCGCACGGGUGCGUAACGCGUAUGCAAUCUACCUUUUGCUACUGGAUAGCCCAGAGAAAUUUGGAUUAACACAGUAUAGUAUCAUAUUACUGCAUGGUAUUUAUGAUUAAAGGCUACGGCAGAAGAUGAGCAUGCGUCCUAUUAGCUAGUUGGUGUGGUAACGGCAUACCAAGGCAACGAUAGGUAGGGGCCCUGAGAGGGGGAUCCCCCACACUGGUACUGAGACACGGACCAGACUCCUACGGGAGGCAGCAGUGAGGAAUAUUGGACAAUGGGAGGCAACUCUGAUCCAGCCAUGCCGCGUGCAGGAUGACUGCCCUAUGGGUUGUAAACUGCUUUUAUACAGGAAGAAACCGCUCUACGUGUAGAGCUCUGACGGUACUGUAAGAAUAAGGAUCGGCUAACUCCGUGCCAGCAGCCGCGGUAAUACGGAGGAUCCAAGCGUUAUCCGGAAUCAUUGGGUUUUAAAGGGUCCGUAGGUGGAUGAUUAAGUCAGGGGUGAAAGUUUGCAGCU
rnacentral:rRNA from 1 species